UACAGAGGUCUCAAGCGUUGUUCGGAUUCAUUGGGCGUAAAGGGUGCGUAGGCGGCGCGGUAAGUCGGGUGUGAAAUCUCGGGGCUUAACUCCGAAACUGCAUUCGAUACUGCCGUGCUUGAGGACUGGAGAGGAGACUGGAAUUUACGGUGUAGCGGUGAAAUGCGUAGAUAUCGUAAGGAAGACCAGUGGCGAAGGCGGGUCUCUGGACAGUCCCUGACGCUGAGGCACGAAGGUCAGGGGAGCAAACGGG
rnacentral:rRNA from 1 species